GCCGCGAUAGUGCAAUAGGUUAGCACUCGCCCUGGAAAGGAUGAGACGUGGGUUCGAUCCCUCUUGAGGUU